CCUACGGGAGGCAGCAGUGAGGAAUAUUGGUCAAUGGGCUUACGCCUGAACCAGCCAAGUCGCGUGAGGGAAGACUGCCCUAUGGGUUGUAAACCUCUUUUGUCAGGGAGCAACGCCGGCUACGUGUAGCCUGACUGAGAGUACCUGAAGAAAAAGCAUCGGCUAACUCCGUGCAAGCAGCCGCGGUAAUACGGAGGAUGCGAGCUUUAUCCGUAUUUAUUGGGUUUAAAGGGUGCGUAGGCGGAAUGCCAAGUCAGCGGUAAAGUCUCGGGGCUCAACCUCGCUCCGCCGUUGAAACUGGCGUUCUUGAGUGGGCGAGAAGUAUGCGGAAUGCGUGGUGUAGCGGUGAAAUGCAUAGAUAUCACGCAGAACUCCGAUUGCGAAGGCAGCAUACCGGCGCCCAACUGACGCUGAAGCACGAAAGCGUGGGUAUCGAACAGGAUUAGAUACCCCGGUAGUC
rnacentral:rRNA from 1 species